GAUGAACGCUAGCGGCAGGCCUAACACAUGCAAGUCGAGGGGUAGCAGGAUUAAGCUUGCUUAAUUGCUGACGACCGGCGCACGGGUGCGUAACGCGUAUGCAACCUACCUUAUACUGGGGUAUAGCCCGGAGAAAUUCGGAUUAAUCCCCCAUAGUACUAAUGAAUCGCAUGGUUUAUUAGUUAAAGCAUUGCGGUAUAAGAUGGGCAUGCGUCCUAUUAGCUAGAUGGUGAGGUAACGGCUCACCAUGGCUACGAUAGGUAGGGGGCCUGGGAGGGUGGUCCCCCACACUGGUACUGAGACACGGACCAGACUCCUACGGGAGGCAGCAGUGAGGAAUAUUGGUCAAUGGGCGCAAGCCUGAACCAGCCAUGCCGCGCGCAGGAAGAAUGCCCUAUGGGUUGUAAACUGCUUUUAUUUGGGAAUAAACCUCUUUACGUGUAGAGAGCUGAAGGUACCAAAUGUAUAAGCACCGGCUAACUCCGUGCCAGCCGCCGCCGUAA
rnacentral:rRNA from 1 species